rnacentral:rRNA from 1 species
GACGUAGGUGGCGAGCGUUGUUCGGAAUUACUGGGCGUAAAGCGUGCGCAGGCGGUUUUGUAAGCCAGAUGUGAAAUCCCCGGGCUUAACCUGGGAAUGGCAUUUGGGACUGCAAGGCUCGAGUGCGGCAGAGGAGACUGGAAUUCCUGGUGUAGCAGUGAAAUGCGUAGAUAUCAGGAGGAACACCGAUGGCGAAGGCAGGUCUCUGGGCUGACACUGACGCUCAUGCACGAAAGCGUGGGGAGCAAACAGG